GAAAGGGUAGCCUAGUGGACAUGGUAUCUGCCCGGUAAGCGGAACACUGUGGGUUCGAUUCCCUGCGCCCUGGACA
rnacentral:tRNA from 1 species